rnacentral:rRNA from 1 species
AUUGAACGCUGGCGGCAGGCCUAACACAUGCAAGUCGAGCGGAUGAAGGGAGCUUGCUCCUGGAUUCAGCGGCGGACGGGUGAGUAAUGCCUAGGAAUCUGCCUGGGAGUGGGGGAUAACGUCCGGAAACGGGCGCUAAUACCGCAUACGUCCUGAGGGAGAAAGUGGGGGAUCUUCGGACCUCACGCUAUCAGAUGAGCCUAGGUCGGAUUAGCUAGUUGGUGGGGUAAAGGCCUACCAAGGCGACGAUCCGUAACUGGUCUGAGAGGAUGAUCAGUCACACUGGAACUGAGACACGGUCCAGACUCCUACGGGAGGCAGCAGUGGGGAAUAUUGGACAAUGGGCGAAAGCCUGAUCCAGCCAUGCCGCGUGUGUGAAGAAGGUCUUCGGAUUGUAAAGCACUUUAAGUUGGGAGGAAGGGCAGUAAGUUAAUACCUUGCUGCUUUGACGUUACCAACAGAAUAAGCACCGGCUAACUUCGUG